UACAGAGGUCUCAAGCGUUGUUCGGAUUCAUUGGGCGUAAAGGGUGCGUAGGCGGCGCGGUAAGUCGGGUGUGAAAUCUCGGAGCUUAACUCCGAAACUGCAUUCGAUACUGCCGUGCUUGAGGACUGGAGAGGAGACUGGAAUUUACGGUGUAGCGGUGAAAUGCGUAGAUAUCGUAAGGAAGACCAGUGGCGAAGGCAGCUCGCUGGGACGGUACUGACGCUGAGACGCGAAAGCGUGGGGAGCGAACAGG
rnacentral:rRNA from 1 species